GUGACAAUAAUUGUUCUGUGGCUUGGUCAAUAUUUUGCAAAGACAUUAUAUUUGUGUACUGUUCUGAUUUGAAAAAAUGGUUCAGUAUUUAAUUCCAAAGAAGUGUUCGAAUAAUAAAAAAUACGAAGUUUAAGUUAGGUUAGGUUCUAAGAAGGUUUUAUGCUAAAGUUUUAGUUCAGCACUGGCCAAGUAAUAUACUCAUAAAAAUAUGUGAUAAAAAUUCCAUGGGCCUAAGACGUCAGGAACAGGAAGUGAAAAUGCAUAGGUGGUGUUGAGCAGUAAUCCAGUAAACAAGCGACAUUCGUGCAGUAAAAAUAUGGCCGAUAAUAGAAGCUGCGUAUUGAAAACUAGCUGGAUGAAUAGAAAGGAAGUUUUCAAAAGGAACACAGGAAUAUGGAUUCACACUGGAGACACUACAGCACCACUACCUACCUGAGCACUGAUCAUAUUUGUUCACCCAUUGUAAAAAAAUGGUUAUAAAAAUAAAAAAGAAAUCUAUUGAAGGCCUUUGCCCUGCAGAGAGACGGCAACAGCUAAACGAAAUAAAAAGACAAGGCACAGCAAAGAACAAACUUGGAGACAAAUGUUAAGUUUGGGAGCAGUUUUUUUAAUAAAGUUCUACCUCAAACUUGUCAACAUGAACUGCAACAAGUACGGCGACAAGAAUGUGAACACAGGUCAGCAGAGGCACCUCGCAGGUUCGGCCCCCGGCCAGCGAUUGCAGCUCUGGACAGACAACAAACACUCGAACAGUCACAGGCAUGUUGUGGAUUAGGAUUGCCCGAUGUUGGGCACAACUAGGAUUGGGACGAAGAUGAGUGUAGGGCGACCCCUCUGGCGCUAUUGUGGAAUUUGCGGACACACAAUAGGGUUUUUGACUAAUAUAAUAAACUCGUGACAUCUGUCAGACUGAUUUCCAAAAUA